UUCACCUCUUCCCAUUCCGAACAGAGAAGUUAAGCCCCACUCCGCCGAUGAUACUGCAAUAAAAUGUGGGAAAGUAGGUAGCCGCCACAA
rnacentral:rRNA from 1 species